rnacentral:rRNA from 1 species
CCGCGUGAGGGAUGACGGCCUUCGGGUUGUAAACCUCUUUCAGCAGGGAAGAAGCGAGAGUGACGGUACCUGCAGAAGAAGCGCCGGCUAACUACGUGCCAGCAGCCGCGGUAAUACGUAGGGCGCAAGCGUUGUCCGGAAUUAUUGGGCGUAAAGAGCUCGUAGGCGGCUUGUCGCGUCGGAUGUGAAAGCCCGGGGCUUAACCCCGGGUCUGCAUUCGAUACGG